rnacentral:rRNA from 1 species
UUGAGAAGUAUGCUGGAGGUAUCAGAAGUGCGAAUGCUGACGUGAGUAACGACAAAACGGGUGAAAAACCCGUUCGCCGAAAGACCAAGGGUUCCAGUCCAACGUUAAUCGGGGCUGGGUGAGUCGACCCCUAAGGCGAGGCCGAAAGGCGUAGUCGAUGGGAAAAUGGUUAAUAUUCCAUUACUUCUGUGUAAUGCGAUGAGAGGACGGAGAAGGCUAAAUCAGCCUGGCGUUGGUUGUCCAGGUGAAAGGAUGUAGGCAUGUAUCUUAGGCAAAUCCGGGGUACUCUAUGCUGAGAUCUGAUAGCAAGCUGUACUUGUACAGCGAAGUGGUUGAUGCCAUGCUUCCAGGAAAAGUCUCUAAGCUUCAGUUACACAGGAAUCGUACCCGAAACCGACACAGGUGGUCAGGUCGAGUAGACCAAGGCGCUUGAGAGAACUCUGCUGAAGGAACUAGGCAAAAUGGUACCGUAACUUCGGGAGAAGGUACGCUGUUGUUGGUGAUGGAACUCGCUUCCUGAGCUGACGACAGCCGCAGAAACCAGGCCGCUGCAACUGUUUAUUAAAAACAUAGCACUCUGCAAACACGAAAGUGGACGUAUAGGGUGUGAUGCCUGCCCGGUGCUGGAAGGUUAAUUGAUGGGGUUAGCGUAAGCGAAGCUCUUGAUCGAAGCCCCAGUAAACGGCGGCCGUAACUAUAACGGUCCUAAGGUAGCGAAAUUCCUUGUCGGGUAAGUUCCGACCUGCACGAAUGGCAUAAUGAUGGCGGCGCUGUCUCCAGCAGAGGCUCAGUGAAAUCGAAAUCGCUGUGAAGAUGCAGUGUACCCGCGGCUAGACGGAAAGACCCCGUGAACCUUUACUGCAGCUUGACACUGAACUUUGACCUUACUUGUGUAGGAUAGGUGGGAGGCUUUGAAGCUGGAACGCUAGUUCCAGUGGAGCCGUCCUUGAAAUACCACCCUGGUAAUGUUGAGGUUCUAACUCUGUCCCGUGAUCCGGGACGAGGACCGUGUCUGGUGGGUAGUUUGACUGGGGCGGUCUCCUCCUAAAGAGUAACGGAGGAGUACGAAGGUGCGCUCAGCGUGGUCGGAAAUCACGCGUAGAGUAUAAAGGCAAAAGCGCGCUUAACUGCGAGACCCACAAGUCGAGCAGGUACGAAAGUAGGUCUUAGUGAUCCGGUGGUUCUGUAUGGAAGGGCCAUCGCUCAACGGAUAAAAGGUACUCUGGGGAUAACAGGCUGAUACCGCCCAAGAGUUCAUAUCGACGGCGGUGUUUGGCACCUCGAUGUCGGCUCAUCUCAUCCUGGGGCUGAAGCAGGUCCCAAGGGUAUGGCUGUUCGCCAUUUAAAGAGGUACGCGAGCUGGGUUUAGAACGUCGUGAGACAGUUCGGUCCCUAUCUACCGUGGGCGCUGGAAAUUUGAGAGGAUCUGCUCCUAGUACGAGAGGACCAGAGUGGACGAACCUCUGGUGUACCGGUUGUGACGCCAGUCGCAUCGCCGGGUAGCUAUGUUCGGAAGGGAUAACCGCUGAAAGCAUCUAAGCGGGAAGCCUACCUCAAGAUAAGAUUUCCCUAGGACUUUAUGUCCUCUAAAGAGCCGUUCGAGACUAGGACGUUGAUAGGUUGGAUGUGGAAGCAUAGUGAUAUGUGAAGCUGACCAAUACUAAUUGCUCGUGAGGCUUGACUAU